rnacentral:lncRNA from 1 species
CAGGAGGGGUGGCCAGGCGACCCCUGCAGCGCCCUGGGUGCACUGUGUCACUAGGCAUCUGAAGAGCCGCUCAGCUGUGUCCAGCCGGGCGUCGCCCCCUCCUCGGGGACUCCACCUCCUGCAGGCACAGUGGGCCACGCCUGCGUUUCCUCCUGGAAAAGCCUCCGCUCCUACUUCGCCCUCCAUUUCUGUGACUUGGGAGCGUCGGCCAGGCGUCCUUUGGAAAUGUCUGGGGAGCUGUCCCCUGCAGAAAUGGACACUGCCCCCGAAGCCUUGGAAUGUCAUGACUGCCCACGGGAGUGAGGCUUCUUCCACCGCCCUGCCACUCAGAGACACCCAGGAGCCCAGCUGGGGAAGGGUGCACUCCACAGUUAGCCUGUCCGGCUCCAGGUCACAAGGGCCAGAUGUUCGGGCCUGGGCUGGUCACCUAGAGUCCUCAACCUGGUGUCCUCGAAGAGUGGCCAGGCUUUGGAACCAGCAUCUCUACAGCCCUGAACUCCCAGCGAUCCUCCUGCCUCAGGCUCCGGAGUGCAGGGAUCACAGGAGUCUGGGCCUGGUGUGGCUGGGCCCUCUCAGAGGCGGCACCAAGGUUGUCAGGGCUGAGAUGUCAUCUGAAGCUUGGUGGAGGAGACCCACAUCUUACCUUGUGAUCUUGCUGGGCAAUUCAGAACUGUUGAGCCAAGGGCCGGCCGGCCUGCCUGCCUGCCUUCCUUCCUUCCUUCCCUUCCUUCCUUCCUGAACCCAGGGCCUUUGCACUGAGCUACAUCCCCAGCUUUUUUAAUUAAAAAAAAUUUUUUUUAUCAUGAGACAAGUUCUCCCUAAGUUGUUAAAGUGUCCAGUCUAGGUUUGAACUUAAGAUCCUCCUACCUCAGCCUUCGGAGUGCUUGCCAUGGUCUGUUGGUGAAGAUGCAAGUCCCAGCCCUGCCCACACUCAAGGGGAGCUACACAAAGACGUGGGGACCAGAGGGACUGCAGGGACCCCUCAGGGCAGUGGGCCACAGGCCCCCAUCAGGUUAUCGGGGCAGGACUGAACUAGUCCCUCUCAGUGAAAAGGGCCCCUGUGCCCGGAUGUAGGGGAGGUGGGGGCUCUGGCUGCCCACAAGGACAAGCAACAGACACGAUGGAAGAAGGCGGGAAACUACACACGCCUGGGCCUUCUGGAGCAAGGUGAUGAUUGAUUGUCAUAAAUGUCUGGCUUGAGGGCUGUAAUUAAAAACGACCCAUAAAACAAUUUUAUCAGCUACAGAGUGGGCCCUGGGCCAGAGGGCACCGUUACAGAUGGGGCUGCUCCCCAGGACAGCCACCCCAGCUUCAGUCCCCUUCCUCCUGGUCUCCCCCGACUGUGGUCACUGAUGGACCCGUUCUGUGAUGGCGCAGGCUCAGAGCAGGUUCCGGAGCCAAGCUGCCUGGGUGGUGUCCAGUUGAACCUCUGCCUUAACUUCUCCUGCCUCAGUUUCCUGACCUGUAAAGUGGAGAUAAAAAUAGCGCCUCCCACCCACAGUGGUUAUUUGGAUUAAAUUAAUACAAGUAAAAAGCCUGGCAAGUAGCAACAACUGUUUCCUUUUUGUUUUGUUUGAGACAGAGUGUCGCCAUGUAUUGCGCACCCUGGGCAAACUGACACAGGGGAAGUAGUGUAACUCCUGACCUGCUAGAUGUCAGAUACAGCGAGUUUGUGUUUAUGAAUUCUAGGGAACAGUGGAGGUUAAGCGUAGGAAAACUUUAUUGAGAGAGCUACUGAGGGACAGGAGGGGACCCGAAAUGGGUUGCAGUGGACCACACUUCUCAGAGGAAGUUUGAUAGAGCAAAAUCAGGAGGUGAAUACGAUUUAGAUCAAAAUUAUGAUCAACCGAUAGGAUUACAACCGCUUAGGUGAUAUUGAUCCAAUGGGGAAGCAGGUUACAUUGCAAGGGUGCAUGGAAAGAACCAGGACGUUUAUAGGAAGGGAUGGAUCGGGAGGUUCUGGUCACCCACCUGGGUGACUGAUGUCUAUCUAGACUUUAUGGGACCAGGUGUUACCAAUUACAGUAUAAUCUUCAGUUUAUUGCCUAUCCCCCGGGGAACACGCAGGCUUGGCCAUUCCGUUUUUAUCUUGAGGCCUGGCCUUCGACAGAUGUGCCCCCAGCCGCAGCGGGUCUGUGUUCGCGGCUUCCGCACUGACUCCCUCAGACCUAUCCUGUCUGCCCGUCUGAUAUUUUUACCCAACUCAGCUGUCUGUACUAAAACGCCUGCGAGGACCUCCUCUUGGCCACGCAGAGCGGCUCACAGGUAGGGUGACCGGCCAGGCCGGGGUGCCGGGGUCGGGGACACAGGGCGGGGCCCCGCAGGCAGGCAGGGAUGGGCCCUGGAAAAAGCCCGGCCCGGAGAGGCGGCGC